AUUGAACGCUAGCGGGAUGUCUUACACAUGCAAGUCGAACGGAGUGGCGAACGGGUGAGUAAUGUAUCGGAACGUGCCCAGUAGCGGGGGAUAACUACGCGAAAGCGUAGCUAAUACCGCAUACUCUUGGAGCCGCCGAUAUCGGAUUAGCUAGGUGGUGGGGGAACGGCUCACCAAGGCGACGAUCCCUAGCCGGUCUGAGAGGACGACCAGCCACACUGGAACUGAGACACGGCCCAGACUCCUACGGGAGGCAGCAGUGGGGAAUAUUGGACAAUGGGCGAAACCCUGAUCCAGCCAUCCCGCGUGUGCGAUGAAGGCCUUCGGGUUGUAAAGCACUUUUAGCGGGAAAGCGGUACCUGCAGAAUAAGCACCGGCUAACUACGUGCCAGCAGCCGCGGUAAUAC
rnacentral:rRNA from 1 species